GGCCGCGGGAAUUCGAUUCAGGCCUAACACAUGCAAGUCGAGCGGUAGAGAGAAGCUUGCUUCUCUUGAGAGCGGCGGACGGGUGAGUAAUGCCUAGGAAUCUGCCUGGUAGUGGGGGAUAACGUUCGGAAACGGACGCUAAUACCGCAUACGUCCUACGGGAGAAAGCAGGGGACCUUCGGGCCUUGCGCUAUCAGAUGAGCCUAGGUCGGAUUAGCUAGUUGGUGAGGUAAUGGCUCACCAAGGCUACGAUCCGUAACUGGUCUGAGAGGAUGAUCAGUCACACUGGAACUGAGACACGGUCCAGACUCCUACGGGAGGCAGCAGUGGGGAAUAUUGGACAAUGGGCGAAAGCCUGAUCCAGCCAGGCCGCGUGUGUGAAGAAGGUCUUCGGA
rnacentral:rRNA from 1 species